CUAUGGUCGGCACGUCUGUUAGCAUCUCUGGCUGCUGUUGAUCUUGUUUUUGGAGUAAAACACGAUGUUCAGAGGGAGAUGAUGCCACAUCUGGUCCAGCUGAUGGAAGGUCUUGAAGUUCUCUGACUGGCCUCGACUGAAGAUGGUCGUCUCACUGGAUUUAAGGUUCAGAUGCUCAGUAACAAACUCCACCAAUGUGCCAACAGGGAAGCUUUAGGUUUAUUAAAUGUUGCUAUGAAGGUAUCACUGUUUUUCUUUGUGAAUGCAAUGUGCUCCAACUGAAACUUGAAUUAGAACUUAGAAGUAAAUCCUUCCAUCUGAAAGGAUUUAGUUGCAUUAAUAACCUGAUAACAUUCUAAUUUUUAUUCCAGUCUUGGUUGAAAAUAGAAUCUCUGUAUUGAUUCAGGUAAAAACUGAACUUCACAGCAUGUUGGAGCAAAACAACCAGAUGAAAACUGUGAUAGUGUUGGAUUGUCAGACCGUAAUAUUGCAGCUCAAAGCAGCUUUUCUAUCUCAGUUCAUUCUGACAUUCAGCUAUGAAUCAACACAGCAGAUGGUGAUCCAUGCUGUGGAAGUCUCACAUCUCCUGAUUUAAUGGAGCUGCUUUGCACUUUUUACACUGUUUAUUCACCAACACUUUAUUUAAUAAAAGUCCCAUCUAGUUUUUAUGAGGAAUGUGAUGUUUUAAUUUCUCUGUGAAUAACUGCAGUCUAAUGCAACAGCUGGAAUUGUAACAUCUGUCCUGAUAUUGAUCAUGAAGUAUUGAUCAGAAUACUUAUGGUCAGCAGUCAUCCCUGAAGUUUUAUAUUAAAAUCUUUACUUGUGUUGUGAACUUUGGUAAGAAGCAGAAACGUUAGCGUUGCCAUGGAUACAUGAGUGUUAAAUUCUGUCCAUGUUUCCAUUUUGGGAAAUUCAGUCCAGUUCCAGAAUGUGGAGGAAUUUAGUCUCAAUCACACACAACAAAUAUUAUCUGAAAGUCGGGUUAUUGUUGUUUAUCAGCACAAUACAAAAAGAUUAAUGUUAGAAAUAUUCCAGUUAAGACCCUAGAAUAUCAUGAUUUAUGUAAAUUUACCUCAAUAAUAUGAAUGUUCAGGUUAAGAUUGUACAGUGAUAUUUAUUGUGCAAGUUUAGCUGAUUAAAGUUUAUGACUGCACUAAAAUAUUAUUUAAAUUGACAUCAUUAUUAUAAUAUUUAGGGUCAGACCCUACAGUAUUGAGAUUAAGAAAUCAAAUAUUCUCUAAAAUGUAAAUACACUGAACUCAUUUGGAUAUAUUUAAGUGAGACUCUACAAUAUUAUUUGACACAAAUCUAUCUAAAUCAAAAUUUUAAUAAUUUUCACGCCAAACAUUUACUGGACUGAUUUAAACAUUAAAAUCAUUCCUUUCUAAUCCUCUGCUGUACGUUCAAACCUGAGGCCUUAAAUAGAAACACAGAAGUAUCUGAUUGAAGGAACUUCUGCAGAGUCCUGGUUCCAGAACAUGAUGAUAGAAUUAUGGACAAACUUUAACAAAAGCUGCCUGAGAGUUUACAGGUUUUUAUGUUGGAUUUCUUCAGUAAUUUAAUGAGAGUUAUCAGCAAAAAUCAAGUGUUUAUUUGAUGAACUUUAUUUCCUAAAACAUCCAGAAUUGGAGCUCAUAUCUUUGGCAGCUGUAAAGUUUCUGCUCCUUCAAAGUUCACAACACAAUGAAUGAAUUUCUAAAACACUCUCAGUGCUGGAGAGCGUUUG
ensembl:lncRNA